rnacentral:sRNA from 1 species
ACUUUAGGACCCGCGCCUCCAGCUGAGGUUUCUAGACGUGACCCAGGGCAGACUGGUAGCAAAGCCCCCACGCACAGCCAGGAGCACCGCCGAGGCCUCCAGCGCACUGAGGGCCAGGCAGCAGCGUUCAACGUGACCUUCCGGCGGGCCAAGGGCUACCCCAUCGACCUGUACUACCUGAUGGACCUCUCCUACUCCAUGCUCGAUGACCUCAGGAAUGUCAAGAAGCUGGGUGGCGACCUGCUCCGGGCCCUCAAUGAGAUCACUGAGUCCGGCCGCAUUGGAGAGAGGAAACAGGCUUGCCCUCGUGCCCCUUUGAAGCUGGCCCUCCUACCUGGGCCCAGCCUGCCGCCUCCCCAGCCCCAACAUGUGCCCUGCAGGCUUCGGAUCCUUCGUGGACAAGACCGUGCUGCCGUUCGUGAACACGCACCCCGAGAAGCUGCGAAACCCUUGCCCCAACAAGGAGAAAGAGUGCCAGCCCCCGUUUGCCUUCAGGCACGUGCUGAAGCUGACCGACAACUCCAACCAGUUUCAGACCGAAGUCGGGAAGCAGUUGAUUUCCG